rnacentral:sRNA from 2 species
UGAUGAUAGUAAAGAUGUAAAAUAGUGUUUUCCCCCUUCCACUGAUAGAUCUAUUUCUUGAGUAUUUGUAAUAUAUACAUUUAUUUAUCCUCCUCAUUCAUUCUCAUCUUCCAUUUUCUUUCACAUCUCCCAUUACCCUUAACCGGGUAUCACACUUGGCUAAAACAUAGCAGAUAUAUCGUGCAACCCGUAUCCGAACGACUAUCUACAAAAGGAACAAAAAAACACCGUCCAAACAGAAGACAACAAUUCUUUUCUAAACAGCGAAGGUAUAUACCGCUAUAAAUACAUGCAAUGCUGAAUCAUAGAAAGAGGGAAUGCAAGAACAAACGGGGCACAUAACAGAUAUUAUCACCAAGCCAUCCAU